rnacentral:rRNA from 1 species
GGUNUGUGAGGAUGACCAGCCAGACUGGGANUGAGAUACGGCCCAGACUCNUACGNNNNNCAGCAGCAAGGAAUUUUNGUCAAUGGGCGCAAGCCUGANCGAGCAACGCCGNGUGGAGGANGACGGCCUUNGGGUUGUAAACUCCUUUUGCGGGGGAUNAUNGUGACCGUACCCCGCGAAUAAGGCUCGGCUAACUCUGUGCCAGCAGCCGCGGUAAGACAGAGGAGCCAAGCGUUGUCCGGAUUGACUGGGCGUAAAGCGCANGCAGGCGGUCGUGCACGUGGGGUGUGAAAACUGGCGGCUUAACUGCCAGAGGCCACCUCAUACGGCGCGACUCGAGCCCUGCAGAGGUCCACGGAAUUGCCGGUGUAGUGGUGAAAUGCGUAGAGAUCGGCAGGAACACCCAGGGGGAAACCAGUGGACUGGGCAGGAGCUGACGCUCAGGUGCGAAAGCGUGGGGAGCGAACCGGAUUAGAUACCCGGGUAGUCCACGCCGUAAACGAUGAAUACUCGGCAUUUGGUGGGCGAUUUUCGUCCGCCGGGUGCCCCAGCUAACGCGGUAAGUAUUCCGCCUGGGAANUACGAGCGCAAGCUUNAAACU